UUUAAUAGCAUUAUUGAAUGAUCAAAUAUUUAUAGGAUAAAGAUGGGCAUGCGGAACAUUAGCUAGUUGGUAAGGUAACGGCUUACCAAGGCUACGAUGUUUAGGGGAUCUGAGAGGAUGACCCCCCACACUGGUACUGAGACACGGACCAGACUCCUACGGGAGGCAGCAGUAAGGAAUAUUGGUCAAUGGGCGGAAGCCUGAACCAGCCAUGCCGCGUGCAGGAAGACGGCCCUACGGGUUGUAAACUGCUUUUAUACGGGAAUAAACCUACCGACGUGUCGGUAGCUGAAUGUACUGUAAGAAUAAGGAUCGGCUAACUCCGUGCCAGCAGCCGCGGUAAUACGGAGGAUCCAAGCGUUAUCCGGAUUUAUUGGGUUUAAAGGGUGCGUAGGCGGCCUAUUAAGUCAGGGGUGAAAGACGGUAGCUUAACUAUCGCAGUGCCUUUGAUACUGAUGGGCUUGAAUGUACUUGAGGUAGGCGGAAUGUGACAAGUAGCGGUGAAAUGCAUAGAUAUGUCACAGAACACCAAUUGCGAAGGCAGCUUACUAAAGUAUGA
rnacentral:rRNA from 1 species